UACGGGGGGGGCAAGCGUUGUUCGGAAUUACUGGGCGUAAAGGGCUCGUAGGCGGCCAACUAAGUCAGACGUGAAAUCCCUCGGCUUAACCGGGGAACUGCGUCUGAUACUGGAUGGCUUGAGUUUGGGAGAGGGACGCGGAAUUCCAGGUGUAGCGGUGAAAUGCGUAGAUAUCUGGAGGAACACCGGUGGCGAAGGCGGCGUCGUGGACCAACACUGACACUGAGGAGCGAAAGCCAGGGGAGCAAACGGG
rnacentral:rRNA from 1 species